AUACAUGUUUAUUUAACACACUAGAAUUAAACAUGUAUUCGCUCCCAGCUGCGUUUUGGUCCGCUUCCUCGUCUCCCGACGACAAUCGUUACAGAACAACCCACCGAACCAGGACCAAGCAGCGGGAGGAAAAGGAGCGCGAGAGAUGGGCUCGCGAGGGAAAGGAGUUCUGGACCUGGGAGGAGAUCAUGUCGGGGAAAGGACCCUGGCGGACGGACUCCCAGGUCGAGGAGGAAAAGCCAGCCGGUAGACGGAGUCGCAGGCGGCGGUCGAGGAGGCCCGGAAAACAGCCCCAAGAAAAUUUUGGGGGGGGGCUAAUGGGGUGGUCCGGAAGGGCAGAGGAAGAGCCCAGACCACUGCUCUCGUGGGGGAUGACGGCGGAGGAAGAGAAGGAGAUGAGGCGUUUGAUUGAGGACCUGCAGAGGGAAGAUCUGGAGGAGGAGCCAUGGUAUGCUGAGUUGCGCGCUGUGUCGCCAGUGCGCCCGCACAGCCCGGUGCGUCCGGUGGACAUGCCCAGCACAUGCCGUGCUAGGAUGGGCAUCCAGCCAGGACGAGUGGCUAAACCGGCUCCACGCUUCAGGUCACCAGUGCGUGUUCACAGUCCUGUCUGGCCCGUUCCUGUUCCCCGCACCAAGCCCACGGUGCGUGUCCCCAGUCCUGUCCGGCCCGUCCCUGCUCCCCGCACCAAGCCAUGGUAUGCAGAGUUGCGCGCUGUGUCGCCAGUGCGCCCGCACAGCCCAGUGCGUCCGGUGGACAUGCCCAGCACAUGCCGUGCUAGGAUGGGCAUCCAGCCAGGACGAGUGGCUAAACCGGCUCCACGCUUCAGGUCACCAGUACGUGUUCACAGUCCUGUCUGGCCCGUCCCUGCUCCCCGCACCAGGUUAGUGGUGCGUGUCCCCAGUCCUGUCCGGCCCGUCCCUGCUCCCCGCACCAGGUUAGUGGUGCGUGUCCCCAGUCCUGUCCGGCCCGUCCCUGCUCCCCGCACCAGGUUAGUGGUGCGUGUCCCCAGUCCUGUCUGGCCCGUCCCUGCUCCCCGCACCAAGUCAGUGGUGCGUGUCCCCAGUCCGGUCCGGCCCGUCCCUGCUCCCCGCACCAAGUCAGUGGUGCGUGUCCCCAGUCCUGUCCGGCCCGUCCCUGCUCCCCGCACCAGGUUAGUGGUGCGUGUCCCCAGUCCUGUCCGGCCCGUCCCUGCUCCCCGCACCAGGUUAGUGGUGCGUGUCCCCAGUCCGGCCCGGCCCGUCCCUGCUCCCCGCACCAGGUUAGUGGUGCGUGUCCCCAGUCCUGUCCGGCCCGUCCCUGCUCCCCGCACCAGGUUAGUGGUGCGUGUCCCCAGUCCUGUCCGGCCCAUCCCUGUUCCCCGCACCAAGCCCACGGUGCGUGUCCACAGUCCUGUCCGGCCCGUCCCUGUUCCCCGCACCAAGCCCACGGUGCGUGUCCACAGUCCUGUCCGGCCCGUCCCUGUUCCCCGCACCAAGCCCACGGUGCGUGUCCACAGUCCUGUCCGGCCCGUUCCUGUUCCCCGC
rnacentral:lncRNA from 1 species